rnacentral:tRNA from 1 species
GAGGGUAUAGCUCAAGUGAUAGAGUGCAUGCUUAGCAUGCAUGAGGUCCUGGGUUCAAUCCCCUGUACUUCCU